rnacentral:lncRNA from 1 species
CAUCGUCAACCUCGGGUAUUUCUUCAAUGAUGAAGUCCUCCAGCGGAAUAGAUGCUGUAGUCAAAGGUUUCAGCACUAUCCCUGUCUCUACAGGAAUAGUUUCCUCUGCAUCUCUGCACCACAAAGUGUUACUACAUGAGUUCAAGACACUUCAACGUCAUUCAAAAAGAAAAAGAAGGCUCACCGGGUUGAACGUGGCGGCAGUCGCACACGCUUCUUCUCGGCGACGGGCGGCCAAGUAUUCGGAGCCGCGGGAACAGCCGCCGGCACCGUCUUUUCACCAAGACCUGCAAAAUCGAAGUUAAGACCAACAGUACUACUCAAAUG